rnacentral:rRNA from 1 species
GGUAGCUUGCUACCUGACCUAGCGGCGGACGGGCCCAUUAAAGGUUAGGAAUCUGCCUAUUAGUGGGGGACAACAUUCCGAAAGGAAUGCUAAUACCGCAUACGUCCUACGGGAGAAAGCAGGGGAUCUUCGGACCUUGCGCUAAUAGAUGAGCCUAAGUCAGAUUAGCUAGUUGGUGGGGUAAAGGCCUACCAAGGCGACGAUCUGUAGCGGGUCUGAGAGGAUGAUCCGCCACACUGGGACUGAGACACGGCCCAGACUCCUACGGGAGGCAGCAGUGGGGAAUAUUGGACAAUGGGCGAAAGCCUGAUCCAGCCAUGCCGCGUGUGUGAAGAAGGCCUUUUGGUUGUAAAGCACUUUAAGCGAGGAGGAGGCUACUUGGAUUAAUACUCUAGGAUAGUGGACGUUACUCGCAGAAUAAGCACCGGCUAACUCUGUGCCAGCAGCCGCGGUAAUACAGAGGGUGCGAGCGUUAAUCGGAUUUACUGGGCGUAAAGCGUGCGUAGGCGGCUUUUUAAGUCGGAUGUGAAAUCCCUGAGCUUAACUUAGGAAUUGCAUUCGAUACUGGGAAGCUAGAGUAUGGGAGAGGAUGGUAGAAUUCCAGGUGUAGCG